UACGAAGGGGGCUAGCGUUGCUCGGAAUCACUGGGCGUAAAGCGCACGUAGGCGGCUUUCUAAGUCAGGGGUGAAAUCCUGGAGCUCAACUCCAGAACUGCCUUUGAUACUGGGGAGCUCGAGUCCGGAAGAGGUGAGUGGAAUUCCUGGUGUAGCGGUGAAAUGCGCAGAUAUCAGGAGGAACACCAAUGGCGAAGGCAGCUCACUGGGACGGUAUUGACGCUGAGACGCGAAAGCGUGGGGAGCAAACAGG
rnacentral:rRNA from 1 species